rnacentral:rRNA from 1 species
UACGUAGGGUGCAAGCGUUGUCCGGAAUUAUUGGGCGUAAAGAGCUCGUAGGCGGUCUGUCGCGUCGGAUGUGAAAAAUCCAGGGCUCAACCCUGGACCUGCAUUCGAUACGGGGCAGACUAGAGUUCGGCAGGGGGAGACUGGAAUUCCUGGUGUAGCGGUGAAAAUGCGCAGAUAUCAGGAGGAACACCAAUGGCGAAGGCAGCUCACUGGGACGGUAUUGACGCUGAGACGCGAAAGCGUGGGGAGCAAACAGG